UCUAAAGAUGCCUAAGUGAUUUUUAAGCUUUGGCCCAAAAAACAUGUUUACUGGUUAUGUUUGAGUGGGAGACAUUUGCACAGCAGCCCCCUCAUCGGGCUGUAGCUGGUACUGCACUCGCUGGUCUGCUCAUACUUUUUCCAUGUAUAGUUAAUCACUUCCACAUGGUCCCCAUAACAAAGGUAGAUUGUCUGCAGGAGAUGUCGGCUAAUGGGAUACACAAAUAAGCUGAUAAAACCAAAAGAAAUUGUUGUGGAAACUGAAGAGGAAGAUCUUACCAGACAGGACGAAAACUGUUCAUUUCUUGAUAAUGAAGAGGGGGUCUUUACAACCGCUGAGGAGGAAGCAAUCCCACCCCCAAGAGACUGAAACGACUUUCAAAAGAAGAGGAGGUAUCCUUAGGAGAUCGUGCAAAGGUAAAGCUGCACAGAAAAGAAAAACCUGGGAAGAGAAAGAGGGGAAGGCUGUCGAGAAGCACAUGAAGCGAUUCAUCCCUUCUGAUAUUUUAUCAGCAAAGAGUGACUGUUUAAAAUGUUUGAGGGCUGAACCGGAAGCUCUCCAAAAACGGGAAUGGCAAGCAUUUAAGUUAUAUGUGUACAACCUCAUUAAGGCCUACAAAAGGAGAUUGCAGGUAAAAUAGUAGAAUACGAGAUAGUAGACUGGUUAAGUAGAACAGUUUUUAUGUUCUUUAUGUUCAAUGUUGUUAAA